AGUCAGUGUGUUUGCACGACACUAUUGAUGGGGAUGCCAUACAGAUUCAUGUCAAAAAUCCCGAACUAUCCUUUUAACAAGCACACAUUAGCAACAAGCUAGACCUAACACACCUUUCUUUGUUUAAUUCCAUGAGGUGGUCCUUGGGCCUUAACUCCUCCCCCACAAAUGCGUGGAGUGAGCCACAAGAGCCAACCCUCUCAAGAGCAACACCCAAGAUGGAAGGAUGGAGAAGAUGCAGUGUGAAGGGUCCUUAAUGAUGGAGAUAGCCCUGCAGGUGCAGCGCUUUUGGUAGAUCUCAAUCAGUUAAGGGAGAGGGGCAUCAAUGACCCUCCUGGCUGUCUUCACAAUCCUAUUUAGCAGCUUCUUGUCGUAGGCCUUGCAGCUCCCAAACCAGAAAGUGAGGCUGUAUAUUAAGAUGCAUCAAGUCAGUGGGUAAACACUGGGAGUGACGUCAUCAAAGUUAAAUAUUGGGAAAUUUGUCACUCAGAUUUGCGAUGUACUUUGUAUGAAAAAUGCAAGUUUUUUUUUAACACGAGAAAAUAAACUUCAUAUCUUCAA